AGUGCGCGCACGUAGCUCAUCGGUGGAUGCACGUCUGCACGGCGUCGCAAUGCGGCCUGCGUCAUUUUCUCGUGUUCGCUUAAUCGGUGUGAGACAUGUCGCAUGUUAAAUGUUUGAUAGAAAUGCCUCCCGUCCAAGUGAAACGGCCGUGCGGGCUUCGGAAGCGUCGACGGGUUUCCGGCAUGCGGAUUUCAGAGUUCGGACUCGACUUUUGGUGAGGAUGUCAAUCGACGUUGGGCCUGGACACCGGACAUGGCCAAAGUGCAGCCUGUCAGUUGAGUGCCCCCGAUUGGACCAUCAAGAUCGGAAAAUGAAGCAGAGCCAGGGAGAAAAAUUUCCAGUAACGCAGUAUGGUGGCCCAGACGUAUGCAAGCAGCCUCCUUCAUGUGGACCAAGAACUACUCUUCAGUGUCUCGCAGACUUCCAUGCGAAGCCCUCAACAUUCUCGUCUCAGUGGAAUGGCUGCUCAUCUAUAAGCGUGUCCAUCACCAAGACUGCCAGUUGUAAAGCUUCUGAACCCCUUUAAGAAAGCUUAAUGAUGUUUUUAAUUUUCACAGUUGGCCGCAGAAUCUGAACAUUUUUGAUGUUUCUAACAUUUUUACCUGGUACAAAGCGGUUCAAUAACUUCAAACCAGUGUAAGGUAUUUAAGUGAUGCUCACUGUAAUGCCCAUCUGGUUUUGUUAGUGUUUAAGAAAUUUGAAUGUCUGAUGAGGUAACAGCAUUCCAAUUUGUCAUCGUGGCUCGUUUCAAUGAGCUGCUGGGAAAUAAGACUCAAAACUUACCACACGCCAGUUGUAGCAUUUUUGUUUUCAUGACUACAGUAUACACGUUUUAAAAGAUGGAGUGGGGAAAAAAGCCUAAAGAACAUAAUCAUCCUAGGAUUUUCAUGUCCAAUUAUUAAUGCCUCAUACAUCUUGGGAGUACAUUGGUUGCAAUGCCUACAGGUGUAUGUGAUAAGAGAAUAGCUUGCACCUAAAUUUGCCGCACAGUUGAUGGCUGAGGGCUCUUUUUUGUUGUCUUCAUGUUAUUACUAUGUAUUCAAUAUUCAUUUAGACGUAAAGGACACUCCAGGCACUGAGGUGCCAAAUGGCAAUCGCAUUUCAGGGGACAAAGUGUCCAGCAUGCUGUCACAAAACGUGUUCUAGGGGCUACCUUGCCUCUAUAGGUAAAUGGACACCCGAUGCUCUGUGUACAAUGUAAUUGGUGUACUUGUCUGGAGUGCUUGAAAGAUGUGCUACAGCCUGUACUGGCACUGUCUGAAGAUAAUGCAUGGUUCUAGAAAGCCUGCAGCUGAGUACCUGCCACCAUACUGAAGGAAGUGUCCUAAUUUAUUUUGUUGAUGUUGUUCAAAUUUAGGAGCUGCAAUGAGUAGUUCUGACUGUGGUAAUGCUGCCGAACUCAAGCACAAAUUACACACCUCGACUCACACAAUGUACUCUGAAAGUUUUGCUACGUGGUAUCUGUUUGCUACCUGACCUUAUGGCACCUUUACGAGUAGUCGCAGGUGAUAGCAGCUGCUGAGGCUUUAUCAACUGGCAAGGAGAAAAAAUGCUGUGCCACCAGUGUGGCUGCACACUCCGAGAUGCAAGCUAUCUUGAACCAGGUGUUCGGUAGACGGUACCUGUGCAGCCAAAACACUGUUUGAGCUCUAUCUGUUUGAGUUCAUCUGUACACAAGUGUGCUGUCACAGCAGAAGGUGGCGAACAAGCAGCAUUUUUACCGGUGUUGCUUCGAAACAUUAGUGCAAGUCAUUCUUUCACCAAGGCUGGUAAUCAUGCAUAGGUAAUGAGAACAGGACAUUUGUGACACACAAGGGGUCAUGUUUCUAAAUUUUGAUUAGAUCAGUAAUUUAUCAGAUGGAAUUAUAAAAAGUAUACAUUUUGUUCCUCAGUGGUCUCUUGGAGAGACAUGACCACUUCGGGCAGUUUAGUUUUUACUUUUUGUCUACAUUUGGUGUGCAUAUUGCAACUGUAACUAACUGUCAGUGCUCUGUCCUACCCAGGUUUUAUGCUGUCUUUGUGAUAUUUGCAAUAUUUUGCAGUUCAGCUGAGCGAAGUAUAUGUCUUUACUAUUGCUACUUUUCACGUUCCACAUUUCUGCAGUGCUCACUAGUUAUAACUAGCCAUGUUUUGUUCAGAUAUGUUCUUGGAUUGUAGCGCGAAGUCACAUGGACACAGACUAGAAGCAGACAGGAUGCGCGCUAACUGCCAACUAAAUUUUUUUUGAAACGAAGAUAUAGGUGAUUGCAAAAAACCGCAGCAUAAGAACAUGACAAGGUAUGAAGACAUCAGUUAAACAUA